UACGUAGGGGGCGAGCGUUGUCCGAAGUUACUGGGCGUAAAGAGCGCGUAGGCGGGUCUUUAAGUGAGGGGUGAAAGGUUCGGGCUCAACCCGAACACUGCCUUUCAUACUGGGGACCUUGAGUGCGGGAGAGGCGAGUGGAAUGGUCGGUGUAGCGGUGAAAUGCGUAGAUAUCGAUCGGAACACCCAUGGCGAAGGCAGCUCGCUGGCCCGUGACUGACGCUGAGGCGCGAAAGCGUGGGAGCAACAGG
rnacentral:rRNA from 1 species